AUUGAACGCUGGCGGCAUGCUUUACACAUGCAAGUCGAACGGUAACAGGCCUUCGGGCGCUGACGAGUGGCGAACGGGUGAGUAAUGCAUCGGAACGUGCCCAGUCGUGGGGGAUAACGCAGCGAAAGCUGUGCCAAUACCGCAUACGAUCUGCGGAUGAAAGCGGGGGACCUUCGGGCCUCGCGCGAUUGGAGCGGCCGAGGUCAGAUUAGGUAGUUGGUGGGGUAAAGGCUCACCAAGCCAACGAUCUGUAGCUGGUCUGAGAGGACGACCGGCAACACUGGGACUGAGACACGGCCCAGACUCCUACGGGAGGCAGCAGUGGGGAAUUUUGGACAAUGGGCGCAAGCCUGAUCCAGCAAUGCCGCGUGCAGGAAGAAGGCCUUCGGGUUGUAAACUGCUUUUGUACGGAGCGAAAAGGCUCCCUCUAAUACAGGGGGCUCAUGACGGUACCGUAAGAAUAAGCACCGGCUAACUACGUGCCAGCAGCCGCCGUAACAC
rnacentral:rRNA from 1 species